GACGAACGCUGGCGGCGUGCUUAACACAUGCAAGUCGAACGGAAAGGCCCUGCUUGCAGGGUACUCGAGUGGCGAACGGGUGAGUAACACGUGGGUGAUCUGCCCUGCACUUCGGGAUAAGCCUGGGAAACUGGGUCUAAUACCGGAUAGGAGCCAUUUUUAGUGUGAUGGUUGGAAAGUUUUUUCGGUGUAGGAUGAGCUCGCGGCCUAUCAGCUUGUUGGUGGGGUAAUGGCCUACCAAGGCGGCGACGGGUAGCCGGCCUGAGAGGGUGGACGGCCACAUUGGGACUGAGAGACGGCCCAGACUCCUACGGGAGGCAGCAGUGGGGAAGAUUGCACAAUGGGCGCAAGCCGGAUGCAGCGACGCCGCGUGGGGGAUGACGGCCUUCGGGUUGUAAACUCCUUUCGCUAGGGACGAAGCUUUUUGUGACGGUACCUAGAUAAGAAGCACCGGCUAACUACGUG
rnacentral:rRNA from 1 species